UUACCACCCUAAAAAUAAAAGUUAGCUAUAUAUUUGAAAAAUCAAUACAAGGGCAAACAAAAAAGCUGGCAAGAUCAUAAAGGUAACCUCCAUAAUUAAAUCAAAAAGAAGAAACCAUUCAGAAUUGGUAUAAAUUUAUUUGUUACUGAUGCAGAUCGUCUUAUCCAGUGAGCUCUAAAAUACUUUUCUUGACUGUACCAAGUAGGAAAAGUCAUUUAGCAGAUUUGUAUUAACAUUUAAACAAAAAAUUAAAUUUUUUAUUAAAAAUGUUAUUUUUCAUCGGCAGUAAUUCCGCGAGCUCCCGCACUUAAGAGUCAAAGUAGAGUGAAAAAAAAUUUUACACAAUAUCACCUCGUUCGGUUCACCACUAUAUAAAGCUUUUGUAACAUACCUGACAGCGAGCACAGACAUCAACAUUAUCGCAAAGGAUAUCAACAAGUUUACCCUUUCCUUCGUCACCCCAUUGACUGCCAAGGACGACGGUUAUUCUGUGUGAAUAGUAAAUUCUUCUCAAAGAAUUUUCUUACCCAUCAUUGGAAACAUUUACACCAGUUUCUCGCACUGAAGCCAUAUUUUUCUUCUAUGUUUUUAUUAGAUCUCCGUUUUGGUGAUGCUGAAAACGGUAAGUACGGUUAGCCGCUGCCUUGUGUAGUCAUUCUUGAUCACCACUAAGAUCAAGGUUAUUUUUCCACUUAACGUUACGAUAUAGCAAAAUUAGCGGUUAAACAGUAUAAUUUAUGAC